rnacentral:rRNA from 1 species
UACGAAGGGGGCUAGCGUUGUUCGGAAUUACUGGGCGUAAAGCGCGCGCAGGCGGUCUUCCAAGUCAGUGGUGAAAGCCUGGAGCUCAACUCCAGAACUGCCAUUGAAACUGUUAGACUUGAGUACGAGAGAGGUGAGUGGAAUUCCCAGUGUAGAGGUGAAAUUCGUAGAUAUUGGGAAGAACACCGGUGGCGAAGGCGGCUCACUGGCUCGUAACUGACGCUCAGGCGCGACAGCGUGGGAGUC